rnacentral:rRNA from 1 species
CCUACGGGGGGCUGCAGUGAGGAAUAUUGGUCAAUGGGCGCAAGCCUGAACCAGCCAUCCCGCGUGCAGGAAGACGGCCCUAUGGGUUGUAAACUGCUUUUCCAGGGGACGAAUAGUUUCUACGUGUAGAGACCUGACGGUACCUUGGGAAUAAGCAUCGGCUAACUCCGUGCCAGCAGCCGCGGUACUACGGAGGAUGCAAGCGUUAUCCGGAUUCAUUGGGUUUAAAGGGUGUGAAGAAGUAUGAGUUGAAAUCCUACAGCUUAACUGUAGAACUGCCAUUGAUACUGUUAGUCUUGAGUUUGGUUAAGGUAGGCGGAAUGUGUAAUAUAGCGGUGAAAUGCUUAGAUAUUACACAGAACACCAAUUGCGAAGGCAGCUUACUGGACCGACACUGACGCUGAGGCACGAAAGCGUGGGGAUCGAACAGGAUUAGAUACCCUGGUAGUC